CCGAUUGACUAAGGUUUCCAGAGGAAGGCUCGUCCGCUCUGGGUUAGUCGGGUCCUAAGCUGAGGCCGACAGGCGUAGGCGAUGGAUAACAGGUUGAUAUUCCUGUACCACCUAGUAUCGUUUUAAUUGAUGGGGGGACGCAGUAGGAUAGGCGAAGCGUGCUGUUGGAGUGCACGUCCAAGCAGUAAGGCUGAGUGUUAGGCAAAUCCGGCACUCGUUAGGCUGAGCUGUGAUGGGGAGAGGAAAUUGUUUCCUCGA
rnacentral:rRNA from 1 species